AUGUACGUCGCCGACACUUGUUCUUCGGUCGUGCAGAUGGUUCGGAUGUUCAACAUGUAUCAUCAGGACAACAACGGCCAAGAGUUCAAGUUCCUUCACGUGUUCUCCAGGACCGAGUCGUGCCAGAAGUGGAGCGAGGCCCAGAUCACCCUCGCCAAGGCCAAGGAGACGUACAAACCGGACGCGCCUGCCCCCGGGGCGGCAGAUGGGCGCCCUGAUGGCAACAAAAGAGCCAAUGCGGCAAGAGACGCGACACCCGCUGCCGAACGACUGCAAUCAUCGAUCGAGCAGUGCAUCGCCGACGCCAAGAACAACGUUGCAAAGAGGGAGGAGAAAUCCGAAGAGCGGUGGUCAGCGUUGAUGAUGAAGUAG
rnacentral:rRNA from 1 species